CCCUGGUUAGCUCAGUUGGUAGAGCGCUCCACUUGUAAUGGAGAGGUCCCGGGUUCUACCCGAACCAGGCG
rnacentral:tRNA from 1 species